ACCCCGCACAAGCGGUGGAUCAUGUGUUUAAUUCGAUGAUACGCGAAGAACCUUACCAGGUCUUGACAUCCCCCGCGAUGCUUUAGAGAUAAAGCGGAGGUAUUCGGGGAGACAGGUGGUGCAUGGUUGUCGUCAGCUCGUGUCGUGAGAUGUUGGGUUAAGUCCCGCAACGAGCGCAACCCUAUUGCUAGUUACCAUCAUUAAGUUGGGGACUCUAGCGAGACUGCCAGUGAUAAACUGGAGGAAGGUGGGGAUGACGUCAAAUCAUCAUGCCCCUUAUGACCUGGGCUACAAACGUGAUACAAUGGCUGGAACAAAGGGAUGCGAAGCAGUGAUGUGGAGCGAAACCCAUAAAAACAGUCUCAGUUCGGAUUGAAGUCUGCAACUCGACUUCAUGAAGUCGGAAUCGCUAGUAAUCGCGGAUCAGAACGCCGCGGUGAAUACGUUCUCGGGGUUU
rnacentral:rRNA from 1 species